GGAGGGCAGCAGAAUUCCAUUAGAUGAAUAUAGAGUUUAUUCAUGACUCAAGAUUGACACGCCUCGGCUGGCCUUUAAAUAUGCAAGAUCGAACGGUAACCGCCGGGGCCACCCUGGCGACGAGUGGCGAAAGUGUUGAAAAAAGACGAUCGGAACGUACCCCAGUAGUGUGGGGAUAGUUCGUCGAAAGCCGGAUUAAUACCGCAUACGACCUAAGGGUGAAAGGCGGGGGGAUCGCAAGACCUCCGCGCUAUUGGAGCGGGCCGAUGUCCGGAUUAGCUAGUUGGUGAGGGUAAAGGCUCACCAAGGCUACGAUCCGUAGCUGGUCUGAGAGGGACGACCAGCCCACACUGGGGACUGAGACACGGCCCAGACUCCUACGGGAGGCAGCAGUGGGGAAUUUUGGACAAUGGGCGAAAGCCUGAUCCAGCCAUGCCGCGUGUGUGAAGAAGGCCUUCGGGUUGUAAAGCACUUUCGUCCGGAACGAAACGCCAACGACGAAUAAUCUAAGGUAAUAACGGUACCGGAAGAAUAAGCACCGGCUAACUACGUGCCAGCAGCCGCGGUAAUACGUAGGGUGCAAGCGUUAAUCGGAAUUACUGGGCGUAAAGCGUGCGCAGGCGGUUCCGCAAAGUCAGAUGUGAAAUCCCCGGGCUCAACCUGGGAACUGCAUUUGAAACUACGGGGCUAGAGUGUGUCAGAGGGGGGUGGAAUUCCACGUGUAGCAGUGAAAUGCGUAGAGAUGUGGAGGAAACACCAAUGGCGAAGGCAGCCCCCUGGGAUGGACACUGAACGCUCAUGCACGAAAGCGUGGGGAGCAAACAUGUAUUAGAUACCCUGGUAGUCCACGCCCCUAACCGACGUCUUCUAUUUGUCGGGUCUUAAUUCGACUUGGUAACGCAGCCUAACGCGUGAAGUUGGACCCCCCGGGAAGGUACGGUCGCAAGAUUAAAACUUCAAAGGAAUUGACGGGGGGGCCCGCACAAGCGGUGGAUGCAUGUGGUCUUAAUUUCGAAGCCAACGCGAAGAACCUUACCAGGCCUUGACAUCCAAUGAAUCUGCUAGAGAUAGCGGAGUGCCUUCGGGAACAUUGAGACAGG
rnacentral:rRNA from 1 species